rnacentral:piRNA from 1 species
UUCCUAGAUGGGAUGGCAGCCGGGCAGA